AUUGAACGCUAGCGGGAUGCUUUACACAUGCAAGUCGAACGGCAGCGCGGACUUCGGUCUGGCGGCGAGUGGCGAACGGGUGAGUAAUGUAUCGGAACGUGCCCAGUAGCGGGGGAUAACUACGCGAAAGCGUAGCUAAUACCGCAUACGCCCUACGGGGGAAAGCAGGGGAUCGUAAGACCUUGCACUAUUGGAGCGGCCGAUAUCGGAUUAGCUAGUUGGUGAGGUAACGGCUCACCAAGGCGACGAUCCGUAGCUGGUUUGAGAGGACGACCAGCCCCACUGGGACUGAGACACGGCCCAGACUCCUACGGGAGGCAGCAGUGGGGAAUUUUGGACAAAGGGGGCAACCCUGAUCCAGCCAUCCCGCGUGUGCGAUGAAGGCCUUCGGGUUGUAAAGCACUUUUGGCAGGAAAGAAACGGCGCGGGCUAAUACCCCGUGGAACUGACGGUACCUGCAGAAUAAGCACCGGCUAACUACGUG
rnacentral:rRNA from 1 species